GGCGGGGCUGGCCUUCCCCACCGGCUCCAUCCUCUUCCACGGGGCUGGGAAAGCGUGUGGUUUCCUCUGUGACAACCCACUGCUGAGUCCGGUCUUCCAGAAGCCUGGGCCCAUUGGCAUUCAAGUUCCGGUAGAAUUAGCACUUUAGAUAAAGGCUUUGUGAAGUCAUCGGUGUGCAAUGCGAGUGGCCCUGAAGCCCUCACCAGCCCUGCUCAGACAGAUCUCCCCCCGGGGUCCACUGGGGGCCUGAGUGGGGAAGGCCAUUGCCUGAUGCAGAACCUGACUUCCCCCUUGGCCUGUGUGAUCUAAGCAGUGAAGUGCUUCCUGGCUAAGCCCACUGCGUCAGACCUUGAUGUCCAGGCUCUGUGCAGGACAGGGAGGAGGGGCAGCGGCAGCUAGUUUGGCCUUUCAUCGAGGCAGAGGGCCUCAGGAGCCCGGCACCUUUCAGUCAGCAGAACAGGAUGCCAAGGCCACCGAGGGCAGCGGCUGUCCAGGGUGUGCGGCUGGUGUGGGGCGGAGAGGGCACUUGGCCCCAGUUCUCAGACCCCCGGCGAGCCCUGUCCCCAGCACAGCAGCGCCCCACCGUGCAUAGGGAGAGACAGCAGGCGAAGCAGCCCACCUGCAGCACGGGCCUGGAGCAGAGGGGCGGCCGGAUUGGGAAGAGUCCUCUGGAUUCAUCGGUAUCAAAAGCUAACACCAAGACUCUGAGUGUCACACAGGAUGCUGGAGUUGGCUCGUGUUAACAUCGCCCCUUUUCUCCUGGGUGGAACCGCGCAAGGUCACGGUGAUGCAGGCUGAAGAAAACACUCGGCGUAGGCCUGGCCCUCGGAACCUCGCUCUAAGGUGGAAAGGUGGACACUGAAUACGUAAACAACAAAUGACUUCAAAGAAGCAAAUGCCAUGAAGCAAAUGAAGAUUUCCAACUAUUUUUGAGACAAAUCCUCCUAAAUGGACCUCUGUAACCUCAAAUCAAUCACUAAAAAAGUGAAACUUAUUUCUUUCCCCUAUUCUGACUUUUCUGCCUGACUUCUGGUCUUUAGUGAUAAAGCCAGCCCUUCAGAGUGGCCCUCGUGUUCAGAGCAGGGGCCACGUUGAGGACGCACUGAAAGCUGUGAAAGCUCCUGCGGAGAUGCGUCCUUUUCUGCACUCAGUUUCAGGGGCUUCGUGGUUUCUGGUUAAGGACUUAAUCUUGGAAUGAAGAGACGUGGGCACAUGAGGGGCCCUGCUCAGCUGUAGCUCCUAGUUUCCUGGAGGUAGAGACCAAAUACUUAGGCCAACUUGCCCUUAUAGCACUUUUUGAUUUCUGUUGACUUAAGAACAGACACAAAAUAAUAUAAUAUUAAUUUUUCAGCCAUUCAGCAUGUAUUUAUUGAUUUCAAAUGCAAAGAAGUAAAGUGACUUGCUCAAGGCCACCAGCUAAUUAGCAGAGUCAGAACUUUACCCCAGUCUUCUUUUCCUCUAGAGCAUCUGGGACAACACUCAGAGCCGCGUGGGUGAGCACAUUGGUGGCAUGCUGAUCACAUGCCCAGGCUGCCGUGGGGCCGGGAGCAGGGCUAAUAGGCCGGAUGGGGGAAUAACGAGCCACGGCGAUGCUCACAGUCUGGGUGGCCAGGCCAAGCAGACCACCUGGAACAUCACGGGGACAAGUGCAACAUCCGGCCCUUGGGGCCAAGCAAGUGGCGCGGGAGGGCAGGUAGGGGCUCAGCUGGGUCUGGGAGACAUCCGUGAGUGGUGCUAAACUGCAGCUUCAAGGUGCGAGCUGGCUGCCAAGAAAGGGAGAUUCGGGGUGUUGUUAGGGUGAGGAGGAAACAGCUGUAUUCUGGAGCCUUUGCUGGGGCCCCGUGUGAGUUUUCCUCACCACAUGUGACAGGAAGGGGUUAUGUUGAGCAGAGGGGCCAGGAGGGUGGGGCUGAGGGAGGGACUUGAAAUGUCACAAGAAUCUUAGCGUGGGAGCCUGGACACCCGCAGCUCUGGUGAACUGUUAUUGGUUUAAACACGUUCGACUACAAUUUAUGGACAGCCCAACUAGCAGUGGCUAGGUGAGAGAAAUGCGAUUACCUCACAGGCCCCUCCAGGGUGAGCGGCAGGCUUAAUGAUGUCAUCCAAGGCCCAGGCUCCUUCUGGACUUAGGCUCUGCAUUCUUGGCUUCUUGGCUUGUCAUCCAUAAGUUUGUCACCUCAUGGUCCCAAGAUGGUUGCUGUAGCUCCAAGCAUCACACUCUCACAUACCACAUUCAGGGCAAGGAGAAAUGGGAGAGACAGAGCCAGGGAGCUUUUCUCAAACACGUUACCCUUCUAUCAAGAAGCAAACGCUUUUCCAGAAGUUUCUUAGCAGGCUUCUUAUAUCUCCAUGGCCGAUUAUGUCAUGUGGCCACCCCACCCUUUGGUUCUUCAGUUUCAAAGACUAACUAGACCUCACCUGUAGGGCUAGGGAAGGGGGCGUUUGUUCUUAAACACAUCGCUGCCCACCCCACAAUGAAACAAAAUUGGCAUUUCUUAGCACGAAAAAGGGGAUGUGAGGACUAGCUGUUGGAUGAGUAGCAACCAAGUGUAUCUGCUGCUGGGCAUAAGCUUACUUUUCAAGCAUGAAAAGGAUUGGUAUGCGGAACAGGGUUUGUUUACGAUGCUCCAGAGGCAAAAUUUGGGCAAACACCGUGCUAAUCAGUAGGUUAGGAGAAAGCCAAUUUUUGGUUCUACUCAAGGCAAGAUUGCCUGAUAACUGCAGUUGUCCAGAAACGGAGGUGAGCUUCAGUGGAGAUGUGAGCCGAGUUAAUGCCCACCUGGUGGGACAUAGUAAGGGGGACUGCUGCGCUGGUUGGGCUGGGGCAGCUGUGGGGAAAACAGGCAUUUACGCCAACCUGUGAGCUUCCUGCCAGCCCAGAGAGCUUGUGAUUCUAGUAAUUAGUUUUUCCCCCUUUGAUCAUUCAUUAAAUAAUUAUGCUAAUUGGAGAAAAUGUUUCUACCAAGUGAGGUAUAAUUUCAAGUUCAAUGGCACUUUGUAUCUUUAGCACCAUUGUAUGAGAUGUGGAGUUUACCUUGGACCUGGGUCUGUACUGUACUUCGUUUAUAACUGUUACUUUUACCAGGACAAGGCAAGGAGGGACACAUUCUUCAGUGAGUCAGUUAUAGAGAAUGUGCACCUGGCCCACUAACGGGCAUCUUAAGUGCUGAUUCCCGUGGCCCCAGAAUCUUGUUAGAUUUGCUGCACUGAGGAAGUAUCAACGGGGCGGAGCCAGGCUCUGGCACCUCUGAUAUUUUAUGCCUGGUAGGGCACGGCGACCCGGUAUGGAUCAGGGAGAAAAGGAUGAACCCAACCAGUUAAAAGAACUUGCUCAAUUUCUCUCCAAAUGAGAGAUUCUUGGUUCUAGUUGGUUCUAGUAUUCAUGGCAAACACAAUUUCUCGUUUAAAGUCUCUGAAAGCUUCUUGAACAACAGUCUCAAUUUCCUUGCUGUCACUUAGUGAAAACAAGGAAAGGACGUGGAAUAGACACCCUUUGGCCAUCCCUUAUUCUCUCUUCUUUCUACACUGCUGCUGCCUGGUGCAGUCCCAACAGUCCUGGCAAAUCAGAAGACCCUACUCCACCCCAGCCACUGCUUGUGGGACCAGUAGAGUCUCUCCCUGGAGCUUGGAGCUGGGGAGGAGGUGAUCAGUCUCUGUUGGACGUCUGGUCUUAGAAGCAGUGUGGGUGGCUGCCUUCUACCAUGUGCUCGGAGGAGCCUGAAGGACAGGUACAGAGAGCCAGCCGACCACAGACAGAGGCCGGGGCCUUGUCCGCCUGCGUCCUGCCUCAGUGUUCGUCCCUGUGUUUGAGGCCCCGGACAUUCCCAGCCUCCUCUUACAUGCUGCACUUCGGCGUCCACCCUGCACCUCCUCCCCGUUUCGUGUGGGCUGGCUGGCCUGGAGUUUUGUUUCUGUACAGGAACUUGAGAGAGAGCCCAUGCUUAGAAGGGCCUAACAGGAAGCUAAUAUGAAUUAUAAAAAGAACUUUAUUAUUUUUCUACAUACAAAAUUAUAAAUGCUCAUUGUAAAAAAAAGUAUAGAAAUGUGUGUCUUAGAAUGUGAAAAUUCCCACAAUAAUCCUCCUUAGAGAAAAUCGCUCUCGAUGGUUCCUGAGAGUGAUCCAGCCUCGCUUGGGCCCUUCCCUCGCCACACAUUGUUCCAAGCACCGCACCUGUGCUAGCUCCUGUAAUGCCCCCCUGAGGCCAGGAGGUGGGACUAAUAUGUCCUCCUCCUAAAGAUGGGGAAACUCAGCCACAAAGAGGGCAAGGGCAGAGGAAGGAUUUGAAUCCGGACGGGCGGGCUCCAAGCAGGGGCUCUUAACCACUGUGCGAGGCAACCUCUUCUCUUACUACUGUUGCUACUUGUAUUUGUUGUUGAUUGCUAUGUAACAAAUUGCCACAUACUUAGGGACUUCGAAUAACAAGCAAGCAACCUAUUAUCCCAUAGUUGCGGGGGUCAGGGGUGCAGGC